rnacentral:rRNA from 1 species
GACGUUGAUAGGUUGGGUGUGUAAGCGCUGUGAGGCGUUGAGCUAACCAAUACUAAUUGCCCGUGAGGCUUGACCAUAUAACACCC